rnacentral:rRNA from 1 species
GUGGGGAAUAUUGGACAAUGGGCGCAAGUCUGAUCCAGCCAUGCCGCGUGAGUGAUGAAGGCCUUAGGGUUGUAAAGCUCUUUCAGUGGGGACGAUAAUGACGGUACCCACAGAAGAAGCCCCGGCUAACUUCGUGCCAGCAGCCGCGGUAAUACGAAGGGGGCUAGCGUUGUUCGGAUUUACUGGGCGUAAAGCGCACGUAGGCGGAUCGUUAAGUCGGGGGUGAAAUCCUGGAGCUCAACUCCAGAACUGCCUUCGAUACUGGCGAUCUUGAGUCCGGAAGAGGUGAGUGGAACUCCUAGUGUAGAGGUGGAAUUCGUAGAUAUUAGGAAGAACACCAGUGGCGAAGGCGGCUCACUGGUCCGGUACUGACGCUGAGGUGCGAAAGCGUGGGGAGCAAACAGGAUUAGAUACCCCGGUAGUCC